GUGGACUUGUCGGGCCGAAGGGCGUGUUUCCACGCUGUAGGGAUUCUAUGAAAAUAAUCAGGGUCUUCUUGCAAUCACAUACAUAUUCACUCACGCACCUUGCAUAUAGACUUGCUUUAUUUGAGAAGCCAGUAAUGCACAUGCAUAAUAUAUUUUGAAUAAACAAAGGGUCAACAUCAUCUGAUACACUGACGGGUAAAUGGAAGAGCUGUGUCACUCUACCAGGAUCUCUCAAACUUGCACUUUACCCAUCCAUCACCCUCUUGCAAAAGGAACAGCAUGCUUAUGGGGAGAAACUGGGAUAGUGGUCCUGUGCAGUGGUAAUUAGUAAUCCAUUGGGUCAAAUCAUACCAUGCCAGCUGGCAGAAUUUAAAUUCAAUUAAUGAAUCUGAGAUCAGCAAUGAUGAACAUGAAACUAUCAACAAUUGUCAUAAAAACCCAUCCGUUCAUUUGUCUUUUAGGGAAAGGAAUUUGCUGUCCUUACCCACAGCAAUGUGGUUCAACCUCAACUGGCCAAAGGACUUCAUCAAGAGGAAUAUGUGCUCAAGAGCAAUGAAAUACUUUCUGGCAAUUUAUUUGCGUAAA